rnacentral:misc_RNA from 1 species
AGGUGAACCUGCGGAAGGAUCAUUCAUAAUUGAGUGUUUUAUGGCACUCUUUAAAAAAAUCCAUAUCCACCUUGUGUGCAACGUUUUUGAACUCUCUCUGGCAUUAAAAAACCAAGAGGGUUUGAUUAACUUAACACCUUUAAAGCAGUUUGUCUGAAUAUCUAUUUCUGAAUAAACAUAAUUCAAAAAUACAACUUUCAACAACGGAUCUCUUGGCUCUCG